rnacentral:rRNA from 1 species
UACGUAGGGUGCGAGCGUUGUCCGGAAUUACUGGGCGUAAAGAGCUCGUAGGCGGCUUGUCGCGUUGUUCGUGAAAAUUUACCGCUCAACGGUGAACUUGCGGGCGAUACGGGCAGGCUAGAGUACUGCAGGGGAGACUGGAAUUCCUGGUGUAGCGGUGAAAUGCGUAGAGAUCCGGAGGAACACCAGUGGCGAAGGCGACACGCUGGGCCGUACCUGACACUGAUGCGCGACAGCAUGGGGAGCAAACAGG